ACAGGGUUCUAUUCCGGAGAGGGAGCCUGAGAAACGGCUACCACAUCCAAGGAAGGCAGCAGGCGCGCAAAUUACCCAAUCCCGACACGGGGAGGUAGUGACAAUAAAUACUGAUGGUGGGUUCUUUUGGAUCUACCAAUUGGAAUGAGUACAAUUUAAAUCCCUUAACGAGGAACAAUUGGAGGGCAAGUCUGGUGCCAGCAGCCGCGGUAAUUCCAGCUCCAAUAGCGUAUAUUAAAGUUGUUGCAGUUAAAAAGCUCGUAGUUGAACUUUGGGUCUGGCUGAUCUGUCCUCCUAAUCGAGCGCACGGAUUCGGUCGGACCUUUCCUUCUGGGGAACCCGAUGCCCUUCACUGGGCGUCGUGGGGAACCAGGAC
rnacentral:rRNA from 1 species